rnacentral:misc_RNA from 1 species
GAUGAAGAACGUAGCGAAAUGCGAUAAGUAAUGUGAAUUGCAGAAUUCAGUGAAUCAUCGAAUCUUUGAACGCGCAUUGCGCCCAUUAGUAUUCUAGUGGGCAUGCCUGUUCGAGCGUCAUUUCAACCCUUAAGCCUAGCUUAGUAUUGGGAAUCGACUUUACUGUCGUUCCUCAAAUUCAACGGCGGAUUUAUAGCAAUCUCUGAACGUAGUAAUUUUUUUUCUCGUUUUUGAAAUACUAUAAACCUCAGCCGCUAAACCCCCAAUUUCUUAUGGUUGACCUCGGAUCAGGUAGGAAUACCCGCUGAACUUAAGCAUAUCAAUAAGCGGAGGA